UUGGAGAAGUUUGAUCCUGGCUCAGAACGAACGCUGGCGGCAGGCUUAACACAUGCAAGUCGAACGCCCCGCAAGGGGAGUGGCAGACGGGUGAGUAACGCGUGGGAACAUACCCUUUCCUGCGGAAUAGCUCCGGGAAACUGGAAUUAAUACCGCAUACGCCCUACGGGGGAAAGAUUUAUCGGGGAAGGAUUGGCCCGCGUUGGAUUAGCUAGUUGGUGGGGUAAAGGCCUACCAAGGCGACGAUCCAUAGCUGGUCUGAGAGGAUGAUCAGCCACAUUGGGACUGAGACACGGCCCAAACUCCUACGGGAGGCAGCAGUGGGGAAUAUUGGACAAUGGGCGCAAGCCUGAUCCAGCCAUGCCGCGUGAGUGAUGAAGGCCUUAGGGUUGUAAAGCUCUUUCACCGAUGAAGAU
rnacentral:rRNA from 1 species